UGGCUUUGCUACUUUGGCUAAAAGUAGCACAAUCAGGUUUCUUCACUAUUUGUUUGAUUCCAGCUUUUUACUGUUUACUUUUCCAGACCCUGGUUUUUAGUAGUGCAUCUUUCCCUGUGUAAGAAGAUGCUGACUGAAAGUCUGUAGCUUUUAAUUGCCAAAACUUGUUCCUUUAGGUUUAUUGUUAUGUUGGGCAUCGUGGUGCAUACCUUUAACCCCAGCAAGUGGGAGGCAGAUGCAGAUGGAUCUCUGACUUUGAGGCCAGCCUGGUCUACAUAGUAAGUUCUAGGAAAGACAGAGCUACACAGAGAAACCCUGUCUAAAUUGCUUUCCACCAUGGUCCCCCACUCCUGCCCCCUGAAUAAGAUUUUUGCUUUGUGGACUGGAGACAUGGUCUAGCAGUUAAGCGUUCCCGGCACACACGUGGUAACCUCUCCAGAUCAGGCCUUUACAGGUAACAGGCAAGCGUUUAUGUGCAUAUGUGCGGAUGUGCAUACAUACAUAUGCAGGCAGACACAAAGAACAAUAUUUUUAAAGGUCUCUGUUUGCCUCUGUUCUCAUGUUGUUUAGGUGCUUGUGUCCCUGUCCUCCCUCUGUCCCCGUUUCUUACUGUGUUGUUGGUUGGUCUGAAACCUCUGAGCUUGUGCCAGCCUCUCCUCAGCCUCUUGCUGGGUUGCAGGCGAUCCUUCCAUAUGGACUUUGCUUUGAGUUCAUUUCACAGGAAGGCACCAGUCCUGAAGAAGGCUGGGUUUGCUCCCAGCGGGAGACAGGAGGGGGGGCACGGAAGUGUGGAAAUGAACAGUAGGAAGGAGGUCGCCCCCGUGCUACCAUGUCCACAGC
rnacentral:lncRNA from 1 species